CGCCUAUCAGUAUCCGCGUACAAUUGUCUUCCAAACAAAAAGCUUACCCCAAUAAAUAGGUAA
rnacentral:tRNA from 1 species